rnacentral:rRNA from 1 species
UCUUAUGCGGAUGCCUUGGGCUGCUGGAUUCAUUGAUUAUGAACGUAGGUGGGAGUAUCUUAGUGGAAGGUACCAUCAUACUUCUAAAAGAAUUCAAAAUACCUAGAUGGU